CUCUGAGGAAAUGGUUAUUGUUGCAAUCACUAGACAAAGGAAGGGAAUUUUUAUAGUGGUUGAUGAACAAUUUGACUAUGAUUUCUCUACCUCUUUUGCCAUGAAGAGGAAAAAUCAUAGCAUCAUCUCAGGUGACUUUGAAUUCAUCAACUCUUUUAUUGAGAAAAAACUCUCAAAUUUUAGAGUUGUAGAUGAGCAGAAGUUUGGGGGUGAUUUUGAGCUUAAAAUGGAGGGUGAUCCUUUCCUCAAAUCUGAGUUGUUCAUGCUGCCCAUUGAAAAGGAUGUUAAACCUGAGUUUCAGGAAGUUGAGAUCAAGAAAACAAAUCUCAAAACACACAUUCCUUUAGUGGCUGGCGAUUUGUUGAGAAUGCAGAAAUCUGAAAAGAUGAAAGCCAGGGAAGAUAGGGAAUUCAUCGGUUUAUGUAGUGAACCUAGUGCUCAGUUUUCU
rnacentral:misc_RNA from 1 species